CAUUCAGCAAUUCCUGUUGGAAAAGAACAGUGAACGCCUCAGCCACCCAGAGCCCAUUACAGAUAUUAAACUUAGCAAAUCAUCAAGGCGGGGCAAGAUUUAAAGUCCUUCAAUGCGCAUGCCUGGUCUCAGCAGAAGUGGAAUCGGUUUGAGAACAAGCUUUUGCAGCCUUAAUGCCUGGGAUCCGCAGUACGCCUUUACCCUGGAAAAGAAGCAGGCAACACACAGAUCCUUAUGUUCACCCAAGUGCUAGCUGGCUUCUGUGACCGCAGGCGCUCUCAUCACUCACUACUGGUAGCCCUUUGUAGAUCUCUGGACCGAAGCAGAACUGCAGAAAUCAAUCCAAGAUCUUGGCAGCCUGCAGCUCCAGUUUCACUGCCUUGAUGUGCUUUGGGAGGAGAUUUCCAGAGACACUACUAUUGAAAUUCGCACUCAUUGCUUUAAAGGUGUUACGUUGUUCAUUCAAGGGGCCUCAGUCUGGUUGACCAAUGUAUAUGUUUGCUUGAAUAUUAUUUUAUUUACACUCUGAACAUUUUUCUGUCAUAUACUUGUUUGCCUCUGAAAGGCACGGAUUGUAACAGAGCAGUGAUUUGGUAGAAGGCAGUGCCUUGAAAACACUUGUUAAAAUUUACCAUAACUCUCAUGCAAAGGAGGAUUGUGGCUAAUGCCUAUCUCAAAAGGAGUUUGGUACCUGAAUAGAGAUUGUUAAAACAUCUUUGCCAGACACAAUUUAUUCCUUGGCAUCAAUAAAAUGU